CAAGUACUGUAGAAUAAUUUGCCGUCAACACUCGAAGCCGCAAUGAAGCUCUUCGUCUCUUCGUCUCUGAGCCGGCGCGCCUAUUCUUCUUUGCAGAAAACCCAAAUCCGGACCCGUUCCUGGAGGAAAAGUCCUACCUUUGAGUCUAUCUACCGCAGCAUCGCACAUUUGGGCGACCCCAAUGUUUCCGUAGUCCCCGCGCUCGACGAGUGGGUCCGAAAGGGGAACUCCGCAAAUAAAUGGGAUCUUCAACGAGUUAUCACUGAGUUGAUGACUUUUAAGAGAUUCAGACAUGCUCUUGAGGUAUCCCUCUGGAUGAGUAAUGAAAAACGCUAUCCCAUUUCACCUUUCGAUAUUGCUGUACGAUUAAAGCUGAUACUGAAAAAUUUCAGCAUUGAACAAACUGAGAGUUACUUCAGUAAAAUUCCAGAACAUGUAAGGACUUAUCAGAUCUAUCUUGCGCUUCUCAACUGCUAUACGAUUUCGAAAUAUGUGGAUAAAGCAGAAUCGAUUUUGCAAAAAGCUAGAGACUUGGGGUAUGCUGACAAACCAAUAUGGUACAACCUCAUGAUGAAUUUGUAUUGCCGAUUAGGAAAUAGGGAAAAGCUGCACGAGCUGCUGGCUGAAAUGGAAUUGAAAGGCAUCUGUUAUGACGAAUUCACCUACUCGGUCUGCUUGAGUGCGUGUGCCGCAGCGUCUGAUGCUGAGGGAAUGGAGCGAGUUGUGAGGGUUAUGGAAUCUGAUCCUGAAGUUGUCGUGCAUUGGCGAACAUUGGUCACCGCAGCACAGGGUUACUUGAGAAUUGGCUCAACUGAUGAAGCUGUGGAAGUACUAAAGAAAUUAGAAAAGCAAUUAAAGACAUGCUCUCAGAAAUAUGUUUUGCUAGCUUUCAUCCUCAAUCUGUAUGCUGAAGCAGGGAAGAAAGAAGAACUGUACAGAAUCUGGAUGGCUUCCAAGGAUAAGAAAGUCGUUAAUAAGGUUUACAUUUGCAUGAUGCGCUCGUUGAUGAAGUUUAAUGACAUUAAUGGGAUGGAGAAAAUAUUUGAAGAGUGGGAGUCAGGUGCCUCGUUGUUUGAUUUCCGGGUGGCUAACUUCUUGAUCGAUGCUUACUGUACAGGCGGUUGUGUGGAGAAGGCUGAAGCCCUAAUAGACAAAGUAGUAUCAAAAGGCGGUAGGCCACUUGUACUGACAUGGUGUCAUCUGGCAGGAGGCUAUGUGAAGAAGAAUCAAAUAGCUGAGGCUAUGCGAUCAUUGAGGAAGGGGAUCGCAGCAUGCCCCUCUAAAUUUAUGUCGAAGAAGCAAGCCUUGAUAACUUGUUUAGAGUAUUUGCAGAGUAACGAGUGCGUGGAAGAGGCACAGGAGUUAAUAAUGUCACUAAGGACAAGGUUUAUCUCGGAGCCCUCUGCUUUUAAUGAGCUUCCCGGUGUCAGAGAAGAUCAAGAUUUUGAGGAAGUACUUGUUAGUGAAGAUGAAGAUGUUAAUGAUUAAGGAGGUAACAUUUUUGUUUCCAUAGUUGUCAGAGAAGAUCAAGAUUUUGAGGAAGUACUUGUUAGUGAAGAUGAAGAUGUUAAUGAUUAAGGAGGCACAAGUUUUGUAUACAAUGUAUACAAGCUAAGGAGAAAGCAAAGGAAAUCAGAGUACAAGGAGACACAAAAGGAAAAAACAAAAUAAGAAAAUUGUGAUUCUGUUGAGAGAUUCAUCAGCCUGCAACUCCU